rnacentral:tRNA from 1 species
UGUAGCUCAGUGGUAGGGCAUUUGCCUGGCAUGCACAAAGCCCUGGGUUCCAUUCCCAGUA